GGUGGCUCAGUGGUAGAGUGCUUGCCUUGCAUGCAUAAGGCCCUGGGUUCGAUUCCCUAGCACCA
rnacentral:tRNA from 1 species